rnacentral:lncRNA from 1 species
AAAAAAAAAGUACGCCAAUAUUUUCGCAAGCCCUCUUAAAAGAAUAUGAAAAAUAGAAAAAAAACGGUUGUUGUGCUUUUUUCUUAGGCAUGGUCCACGGUAUUAAAUGUUGAGUAAUUAAUUAUUUUGUAACCAUUUAAAAUAAAAAAAUUGUGUUUUCUGUCGUACUGACUUAUAUGAUCUGUCAAAUGUUAAAGUUUAUGUACAUAGUAGUGUGGUGUGCUGCUUUUCCUGUGUGGAUGCAAUAAGCUAUUUACUAAAAAGCAACUGGGUGUUUGGUAGACUGUGUUAUUGUGAUUGUUGUGAGUUUGAAAAGCAGUAUACAUGCGUUCGGUAAAUUUAUUGCAAACAUGCUAUUUUAUUAUAUAAUGACCAAAAUAUUGCCUUUUAUUUUUUUGGAGUAUGUUUAAUAAUGUUUAGACAUGCCUUUUUCUUUUUAAAACACAUGAAAUGACAUAAAUCGAACAAAUCUCAAUUAAAUAAAAUCUAAUAAACUUUAGCAUUUGUUACAUAAAAUAUGAUAAAAAUUCAUAUUAAUAUAUAAUCCAAAUAAAAUAAAAAAGUAAUAUGCAUUCCAGUCACAUUAAGCUUGUUGCUAUAAAUACCAUGAAUAUAGAAAAAUAUAAAUAGACUGAACGUUAAAAGCCAUGGUUAUGAAGUUGAUUUUAAAAGUCAUAACUAACUUUCAAGUGGAUUUGUUCAUAGUUCAAAAAAGUUUAUGUAAUUAUAUGCAAGUCUUAUUGAAUCUUAUAACAGAAAAUAAAAGUAAAAUAUAAAAAAAUAUGAACCUAAUAUAUCAAAACUUUGAUACUAGAGAUGAUAUACAAUAGUUAUGGCGAUAAUUUGAUUGUAGUGGUAAUAUGAUAUAUAAUGACUUAUAUAUUAGGGUGCAUAAAAAAAUAAGACAUAAUUAUUUUUUAAUAUUAAGAUUAUGAUAAUAACUUUAAAAAGAUGUCGUAUUUUGUUUAAUAAGCUACUUAUAAAAAGUAACCCCUUACAUGCUUUUAAUAGCUGUUGUCAAAAUAGAAAAAACUAUGAAAUAAGCAGUUUUUAUAAAAUUUACUAAAUACUAUUUUUGUCACAAAUUAUCAAAUAAGCAACUUAUUGAGUUCAACUUCUAUCUCAAAUGAGGCCUUAGUCUCUUUAUAACUUUCAAAUGUAGUCUAACUGUAAAGUGGCAACACAUGUCCCAAUUUAAUUGGCAAACACUAGUUACACUACUACAUCAGCCAGUGACUUGGUGGUGCUGACACUAGGGAACACUUUCGCACACAGUGAUAGCAUCAGCAUGAGUGUUGAGUGCAUGACCCUUAAACCCUACCUUCAAAUCCAAGCAAGUGUACAUAAGAUUGCAUAUUCUAUCCAAAAUGACUGUGCUGCUCUUAUACAUGAUUCAAAGGUGUAGUAUAUCAACUUACUUGAAGGCUAGAGAAGUAUAAGCAAAGCUCUACAUCUCUAGCAUAUACGAUAAUUCAUUUCAACCAAUGUGUUCUAUAUCUCAUGAAGACAAAUGCUGAGCAAGGAAAAUACGAUAGCUACAAUAGCAAUUUUCAUUAAAUUACUUUACACAUGUACAAUUACUCGCUUGCAAGACUCAUUCAAGGGUAAAUGUAGCACUUUUUUAAACAUAAUUAUCAAAAAGUAACCCAUCUAACAGAAUUUUUUAACAAAUAGUGAAUUCUUAUCAUUUGUUGUGAAAGAUGUAACAAGACCUUGUUUGUUUGCCAAGAAAAUGAGGGGAAAAAAGUCUUUAACUUAUCCUUUGCAACCUAAAAUUUCUCUUUGCAUUUUGGUAAGAGAAUAAAGAGUAUGAUUAAUUGAUAACCUGGUGACUGGUGGCUGAGCCAAGACUAGGCAGUAGUGACAGCCGAGCUGGUGAUAGCUCUAGGUAGUGUAGUUUGGUUUACCAUAAUUAUUUAGUGUUUCAAAGUUUUGUAAAUUUAAUAUUUUAGUAUUUAUUUCCCCAUAGUUGUAUUUAAAGUAUGUGAAAGAAUCCAUAAAUUCAAAGCAUACAAUUCCAUCAGAGAGCAAAGUUAAAAAAUUACUAAUUAAGGAUAUGUUGCAUUUGGGUUGUUUAGAAUAUUGGAAUGUUUCUCAUUUUGGGUUAAUUAAAGAUAGCAAAUGGCUAGGUGGCACAUGGCACAACAUGGGCACGAGCAUGAGCAUUUUGGUAGGGUACGCAGCACGGUAUGGCAUGCACAUGGGCUGAGCUGGGAUGGAUUGAAAAUUUUAGACAUGUAAGCCUUAAAAGCACGACAUGGUUAGAGAUGGGGUAAAGCACGACACGUGAAAAUGCCUGAAAUAAGCAUGUUUCACUUUUUAAUCAAAGUUUAUUAAAUUCAUUUACAAAUAACUUGAAGUUGAAUUUUUUAAUAUAUUUUAUUAGCAUAAAUUUAUUAAAUUCAUUUAGUUCUUAACUUCAAAAAAAAUCUAAUUGUUUUAUGUUUAUAAUUCAUUAAAAGAACAAAUGAUAUCAUAAUUUUAAUUAAAAAAAUUAAAAUAUCAUGACUUUAUAAAAUGUAUGUAUUAAUGUUAUUAUGGAAAAUAUCACUCGUAUACCCUUAAAUGAUAGUUGUAUCAAAUGUAUUACAACACUUUUAACAUGUAUCACUCGUACACCCUAAGUUGUCAAAAUAUGUCUGUCGUCCACCAAACUGUUAGUUGCCGUUUGCAAGCACUGACAUCAUAAGGGUAAUCUAGUCUUUUAAGAUGGAAGAAACUUUGAUUAAAAAACGACAUGUGAUCCCAUUUACGUAGUAAACAAUGACAUGUCAUAUGAUAUAUACUGACAAAAAAUGACUGUCAUCCUAUUUAUUGGAAGAUGAUGUCAUAUAUCACUAAAAAAAAAAAAGCUACUCAACAACAGAAUCUACUCCUCCAAAAUUCCUGAAUUUUUAAAGAUAUACUCCUCCAAGCUCCAACUGAAAUUUUUUAUGGUAUAUAUAAUAUGUAUAAUUGUAAAUAAUAUGUUGUUAAUAAUAUUUUAUGGUAUAAUAUGAAUGCUUUUUUACGGAUAAUUGUUAAUAAUAUGUACCAUUAUUAAUUCAUAUUUUUUUAAUAAAAAAUGUAUUGUUAAUAACAAAAUAAAAAAAAAAAUUGUGUAUUGAAAAAUUACGUUAAUUUUUUGGACAAAUCUGUCUUUUUACCUUAUUUUGAGUUUCAAGGGCAAAAUAGUUAAUUUACCACAAUUCUGUUAACUUUCUAAUGGCAGCUAACAGUUUGGUGGACGGCAGACACAUUUUGUCAACUUAGGGUAUACGAGUGAUACAUGUUGAAAGUAUUAUAGUACGUUUGAUACAAGUGUCACUUAAGGGUAUACGAGUGAUAUUUUCCCAUGUUAUUAUUAACUAAGAUCUAUGACUCUAGUAAGUCCAAAUUAAUAAUUAAGUUAACCUUUUAAAAAAAUUUAUUAUUAUUGUUGUUGUUGCUGCUCCUGCUAUUGUUAAAUAUUAAAAAAGAACUUUAAUAUUGUAAGGUCUAAUUUAGGAGUUAGUAGUACAUUAUCUUACUAUUAUUAGUUUAUUAUUAUUGAAUAUGGACUUAGGUUUUGAAAUUUUGAUUAUAUUGGAUUUGACUAAAGGCACAUGAACCCAAAAAAACUAUAUGUUCUUGAAAAAAAUACGCCAACAGCUUGGCAUGUCUUCUUAAAAAAAAUAAAAAAGUAAAAAAAUAUUGUCGUGCUUUUUUCUUAGGCACGGUCCACGACACGACAUGUAUGCUAGGCCGGGCCUAAGCAAAAAAUAAUAAUAAUUAGGCACGAACGACAUGGCACAGAGUACAUGGUAGGCAUGGCAUGCAUGAGCACGAACCUACAUGGGUCAUCAUUGCCAGCCCGGCCCGACUUGACUCGUUGGCCCUCUUUAGGGUUAAUUGGGAAUUUUUUCUUUUUUUCUCUUUUUGAAGUGUUGAUAUCUAAAUAAUUUUGGUAGAUCACAUGGGUGUGGAACCCAUAAAAUAAAUGUUGAGUAGUGUGAUGUGCUUGUCCUACACAAAUUUUUCUCCUGUUGAGGUUAGAUUAAGUAUUUUAUUUUAAUUCAAAUUUGCUAUCAAUUUCAAUACUAUUUUUACUUGAAAUUUAGUAUUAGAUUAAAUAUCAAAAUUUUAAUUCAAUGAUUUAAACAUAAAAAAUAAAUCAUUUACAAUAAUAUCGAAUAUAAAUAUUAAAUCCAACAAUUAGAAGCAUAAUUUAAAUAAUUAUUUUAGUUUUAUUAAAUUAAAUUUAACAGUCAAUUAUAACUAACAAAAGGUAAUAUUAUAUGUAUAAUCCGAUUAGUCCAAUCAAAUCUAGGGACAAUUUGGAAUUGCGGUUCCUGACUAAGUAAGCAGCUUUUCUUGUGCGGAUGCAAUAAGCUAUUGAUUAAAAAAGUAACUUAAAGUUGUUAGUCUAAAUGGCUACACAUAAUGUAAUUUUGAUGAUAGCAAAUAUGUGUCUUAAGUGACUUAAUAAAUAUUGUAUUUCACAUUUUUACUAGUUUUUGAAGGAUAAUAUUUAUGCAAGUGAAUCAAGUGAAAUUAAGCUUAAGACAGUCAACGAACAACGGCGAAAUCAAGAAUAAAGUUUAGAGCUCGACAAAUUAUUGCGACAAAUUCUUGUAAAGCCAGUAUGAUUUAAUUGAUUCAUGAUUUAACAUUUGAGAAACUUAAGAGUUUAUUUAAAUAAUUACUUUUCAUAAACUAAAAGGUUUUAUAUUUAUAAGAUAAAAUAUUUUGUGGAUUUGAAUAAUUUGAACUAAAAUGAAAAUUUUUGCAAUCUUUGAAUUUUAUAAGAAUUAUUUUGAAAUUCUAAAUUUGGACCUAUUUGCAAAUAGUUGAAUUAUUUUGGGCCAUACUAUAAUUUAUGAUAGUUUGAUGACCCGAAUGUAAUCCAAACAUUUGAAAUUCAAAAUUGGACAGAGAGUGAGCGGAUAACCGCCUGAGGCUAUCGGCUUAGCCGCCUGAGGAAAUUCUCAUAUUUUCAAAUUUUAGACUAAAGUGAAAGAUUUUGAGAACUUUGAAAAAUAUGCGUAUUAUGCUAAAUUUGGAAAAGACCAUUUUGACAAAUACUUUUAUAUUUGGUGUCAUAUCAUAAUUUUAUAAAGUCUUGGGAAUAAUAAGUAUUAUUUGAAAAUUCUGAAAUUGGACCUGUUUGUAAAGUUUUAUGACAUUUUGGGUCAUAAUGUAAUUAUAGAAAGUUUUGGGUAAAAAAUAAUUUUGUGAACAGUAUUACUGUAGCAAAAUUUAAAUUUAACGGUAACAUCAGUGUUCUGGGCAGCUAAGUGGCUAAUUGCUUGGUAGCGAGAAUUUACCUAUAACGGCUAGUUUUCGGACUUUAACUAUAAAUACUCAACUCCAACUUCAUUUUAGAGACUUUUGCAUGCAUAAAUAAGUGCAUAAAUCAUAUAUUCAGCUUCCAUUUCGUAAACCAUCUUAUAUUGAAUCAUCUUUGUGCUAUUAUUUGUAGAUUCACUCUAAAAACGAGUUGUUUAUUGUAUUCUUCAUUUUUCAUAUCAAAUUUGAGAGUGCAAAAGUGUGAGAAACACUUGUGUGAAGAGAUUAAGAUAUAAUCUCUUGGUUGUAAAGGUUUAUUAACACCUUAGAAGUCAAUUGUAACGAAUUUAAAGCCUUAGGUGGCUUGGAUAGUGAAAUCCUCGAGCUUGGUUGGCUUGGAGGCGUGGACGUAGGCGGGGAUUGCCAAACCACGUAAAACUCCUUGUGUUUGUUUUCUCUUCCCUUACUCUUUUAUUAUUGUGCUAUAUUGAAUUUAUUAUUUUCAAUUUCAUCAAAGCGUUAGAUUGAAUUGUUGUGCGAAUUAUUUAGCAUAUUAUUUAAAAUCUCAAUUCACUCUCUCUUGGGUUGCAUAACUUGCAUUUCAAAAGUUUGGUAGACUGUGUUAUUAUGGUUGCUUUAAGCUUGAAAAGUAGUAUACAUGUGUUUAGUAAAUUUUAUUACAAUCGUACUAUUUUAUUAGAUAAUGACUAAAAUAUUACCUUUUAUUUUUUUGGAGUAUGUUUAAUAAUGUUUAGAUAUACCUUUUUCUUUUUAAAACACAUAAAAUUACAUAAAAUGAAAAAAAAAACUCAAUUAAAUAAAAUUUAAUGAACUUCAUCAUUUGUUCCAUAAAAUAUGAUAAAAAUUCAUAUUAAUACGUAAUACAAAUAAAAUAAAAAAGUAAUACGCAUUACAUUCACAAUAAACUUAUUGCUUUAAACACUUUGACUAUAGAAAAAUAUAAAUAAGAUUGAACAUUAAAAGCCAUGGUUAUGAAGUUGAUUUUAAAAAGUCAUGACUAACUUUCAAGUGAAAUUGUUCAUAAUUCAAAAAAAAAUUUACGUAAUCAUAUGCAAGUAUUAUUGAAUCUUAUAAUAGAAAAUGAAAGUAAAAUAAAAAAAAGGAACUUAAUAUACCAAAUCUUUGAUACUGGAGAGGAUAUACAAUAGUUUUGGCGGUAAUUUGAUUGUAAUAUGAUGUCUAAUGGCUUAUAUACUAGGAUAUAUGGAAAAAUAAGACAUAAUUAGUUUUUAAAAUAUUAAGGUUAUAAUAAGAUCUUCAAAAAAGUGUGGUAGCAUAUUUCAUAAGCUACUUAUGAAAAGUAACCCCUUACUUGCUUUUAAAAGUUACUAUCAAAAUGAAGAAAAUUAUGAAAUAAGCAAUUUUUACAAAAUUUAUCAAAUUCUAUUUUUGUCAUAGAUUAUGCAAUGAGCCCUAGUCUCGUUGUACCUUCCGAAUGUAGCCUAACUGUAAAGUGGCAACACAUGUCCCAAUUCAAUUAGUCAACACUACCACAUCAGCCGGUGACUUUGUGGUGCUAACACUAGGGAACACUUUCGCACACAGUGAUAGCAUCAACAUUAGUGUUGAGUGCAUGACCCUUAAACCCUACCUUCAAAUCCAAGCAAGUAUACAUAAGAUUGCAGAUUCCAUCCAUCCCACAAAUUGGGUCUUAAUUUCCUCUAAAUUGCCAUCCCUCCAUUUCGCCGCUCACUGCAACCUUUUGAAUAGGUCCUACUAUUCAAAUAAAUAUUGGAGUCCAACAAAAAAAGCAUAUUUUAUAGAAAUAUUUUUAAAUGAACGAGGGGUAUAAUGUAAAUGUUAAAUAAUUGGGCUCAGGACCUAUGCAUGUAAAUGGAGGCCCAAGUCCACAAAUCUGCAAAUGUUGUGAUUAUCAUGUUAAGUUUACUAAAAAGGAUACUCCAGAAAUUCUAUGGAAAAGAUAAAAAUAUUUUCACUCAGGCCUUUUUUAGUAUUGAAGUUUUUCUUUUAAAAUUGAUGUUGAACAGUUGUAACUUGUAAAGUAUAGUAUUAAAGUGUUUGGUAAACACUUACUAUUAUAACUUAGAAGCUAAAAUAAUUUGACUCUACU